GACAAGAAAUAACAAUACGGGGCUUAACGUCUUGUAAUUGGAAUGAUGGGAAUUUAAACCUCUUCCAGAGUAUCAAUUGGAGGGCAAGUCUGGUGCCAGCAGCCGCGGUAAUUCCAGCUCCAAUAGCGUAUAUUAAAAUUGUUGCAGUUAAAAAGCUCGUAGUUGAAUUUCUGCUGCAUUGCUUGUGUCCCUCUGGGGUCUGUGCAUGUGGCUUUUUUCGGACGGAGUUUCUUUGUCUGAAUGUUUACUUUGAGAAAAUUAGAGUGCUCAAAGCAGGCUUUCGCCUUGAAUAGUUUAGCAUGGAAUAAUAAAGUAGGACUUUGGUUCUAUUUUGUUGGUUUUAGGUACCAAAGUAAUGGUUAAUAGGAACAGUUGGGGGCAUUCGUAUUUAACUGUCAGAGGUGAAAUUCUUAG
rnacentral:rRNA from 1 species